rnacentral:rRNA from 1 species
UACGUAGGGGGCAAGCGUUGUCCGGAUUUAUUGGGCGUAAAGGGCGCGUAGGCGGUCAGCACAAGUCAGUUGUGAAAUCUCCGGGCUUAACUCGGAAAGGUCAACUGAUACUGUGCGACUAGAGUGCAGAAGGGGCAACUGGAAUUCUCGGUGUAGCGGUGAAAUGCGUAGAUAUCGAGAGGAACACCUGCGGCGAAGGCGGGUUGCUGGGCUGACACUGACGCUGAGGCGCGAAAGCCAGGGGAGCGAACGGG